rnacentral:rRNA from 1 species
AUUGAACGCUGGCGGCAUGCCUUACACAUGCAAGUCGAACGGUAACAGGUCUUCGGAUGCUGACGAGUGGCGAACGGGUGAGUAAUACAUCGGAACGUGCCCGAGAGUGGGGGAUAACGAGGCGAAAGCUUUGCUAAUACCGCAUACGAUCUCAGGAUGAAAGCAGGGGACCGCAAGGCCUUGCGCUCACGGAGCGGCCGAUGGCAGAUUAGGUAGUUGGUGGGAUAAAAGCUUACCAAGCCGACGAUCUGUAGCUGGUCUGAGAGGACGACCAGCCACACUGGGACUGGGACACGGCCCAGACUCCUACGGGAGGCAGCAGUGGGGAAUUUUGGACAAUGGGCGCAAGCCUGAUCCAGCCAUGCCGCGUGCAGGAUGAAGGCCUUCGGGUUGUAAACUGCUUUUGUACGGAACGAAAAGACUCUGGUUAAUACCUGGGGUCCAUGACGGUACCGUAAGAAUAAGCACCGGCUAACUACGUGCCAGCCGCCGCGGUAAUAC